CUGGCAGUCAGAGGCGAUGAAGGACGUGCUAAUCUGCGAUAAGCGUCGGUAAGGUGAUAUGAACCGUUAUAACCGGCGAUUUCCGAAUGGGGAAACCCAGUGUGAUUCGUCACACUAUCAUUAACUGAAUCCAUAGGUUAAUGAGGCGAACCGGGGGAACUGAAACAUCUAAGUACCCCGAGGAAAAGAAAUCAACCGAGAUUCCCCCAGUAGCGGCGAGCGAACGGGGAGCAGCCCAGAGCCUGAAUCAGUGUGUGUGUUAGUGGAAGCGUCUGGAAAGGCGCGCGAUACAGGGUGACAGC
rnacentral:rRNA from 1 species